GCUGGCUUCAGCAGCGCAUGCUAAAGCUGGACAGAUACAGAUAUUAACAUGGCCUUGCACAAGGACGACACGCAAGUUUGUGAAGUGUUCCCUGUUUUU
ensembl:snRNA U6 U6 spliceosomal RNA